rnacentral:rRNA from 1 species
GCCUAACACAUGCAAGUCGAGCGCACCUUCGGGUGAGCGGCGGACGGGUUAGUAACGCGUGGGAACGUACCCUUUUCUAAGGAAUAGCCACUGGAAACGGUGAGUAAUACCUUAUACGCCCUUCGGGGGAAAGAUUUAUCGGAGAAGGAUCGGCCCGCGUUAGAUUAGAUAGUUGGUGGGGUAACGGCCUACCAAGUCUACGAUCUAUAGCUGGUUUUAGAGGAUGACCAGCAACACUGGGACUGAGACACGGCCCAGACUCCUACGGGAGGCAGCAGUGGGGAAUCUUGGACAAUGGGUGCAAGCCUGAUCCAGCCAUGCCGCGUGAGUGAUGAAGGCCUUAGGGUCGUAAAGCUCUUUCGCUGGGGAUGAUAAUGACAGUACCCAGUAAAGAAACCCCGGCUAACUCCGUGCCAGCAGCCGCGGUAAUACGGAGGGGGUUAGCGUUGUUCGGAAUUACUGGGCGUAAAGCGCGCGUAGGCGGAUUGGAAAGUUGGGGGUGAAAUCCCGGGGCUCAACCUCGGAACUGCCUCCAAAACUAUCAGUCUAGAGUUUGAGAGAGGUGAGUGGAAUUCCGAGUGUAGAGGUGAAAUUCGUAGAUAUUCGGAGGAACACCAGUGGCGAAGGCGGCUCACUGGCUCGAUACUGACGCUGAGGUGCGAAAGUGUGGGGAGCAAACAGGAUUAGAUACCCUGGUAGUCCACACCGUAAACGAUGAAUGCCAGUCGUCAGCAAGCAUGCUUGUUGGUG